AACGAACGCUGGCGGCAUGCCUAACACAUGCAAGUCGAACGAGACCUUCGGGUCUAGUGGCGCACGGGUGCGUAACGCGUGGGAACCUGCCCUUAGGUUCGGAAUAACUCCCCGAAAGGGGUGCUAAUACCGGAUAAUGUCUUCGGACCAAAGAUUUAUCGCCUUUGGAUGGGCCCGCUUUGGAUUAGCUAGUUGGUAGGGUAAAAGCCUACCAAGGCGACGAUCCAUAGCUGGUCUGAGAGGAUGAUCAGCCACACUGGGACUGAGACACGGCCCAGACUCCUACGGGAGGCAGCAGUGGGGAAUAUUGGACAAUGGGCGAAAGCCUGAUCCAGCAAUGCCACGUGAGUGAUGAAGGCCUUAGGGUUGUAAAGCUCUUUUACCCGGGAUGAUAAUGACAGUACCGGGAGAAUAAGCUCCGGCUAACUCCGUG
rnacentral:rRNA from 1 species